GUGAGCGUCGGUACGGGCGUGAGCGUCGGUACGGGCGUGAGCGUCGGUAGGGGCUUGCGUGUCUAUUAAUUGUUAUGUCCUUCAAGCAUGAAUUAAGUAACACCUUCUGGUUAUAAUGCCAGCCCGGAAUAUGAAUAUAAGGUUAGCUUCUACAAUUGAUUUGGCAGGAAUCAAAUCCGAGUUCCUCUACUGCGGAUUCGGCAGGGACCAGGCCUUCAGCGAUGGUUCAAUGCAUUAAGGAACCACAUUGAAGAAUUUCACAGAAGGAUCUGGAGGCCAGUUGCCUCUAGGAGUUGAAGGCAGCUUCCAGCUUACAGUCAGCAAAUAACUGGGGACCUUGUUCUUACAACCACAGGAAAUGAAUUAUAUCCACAACCUGAAUGAGCUUGGAAGCAGAAAAGGGAGUAACAGAAGAAAAAACUCACCUUUCUUCAAGAAAUAUUCCAACUGCUCUGCAUCUGUGAACAUGCUCUGCCUUCACUCCUGUCACUGAAGAUCCUUCACUGCACAGCUCUUUACCUCUACUCAACGCAGAGUCCUAGGAGUCUGAAGAUACUAAUUCGUGAAUCUGAUAUAAAGAAAGUAUUAUUUAUUCUUCCACUCAGAGCUUUACUGAGGAUAAAAGAGUAGAAAAAAUAUCAGAGAGGUAAUUGUAAAAAUAAUACUUUUACCAUUCAACUGCACUGGCCUGAUAAUAAGCACAUUUACAAUAUUAGGUAUCUAAGAAAUGGCACAUGUGUUAUUUCACAAGAUUCUAUAUAACCAUAUUAUAUAAUAUAUAAUAAGUUAAAGUAAUUUCAACAUGUACAGAAUUAAAAUAUUACUGUAUUAAGUAGUGAUAAAAUACUAGAUGUAAGAAAACAUAAUGGGGAAAAUAAUAUUUAUAAUAAAAUUAUUUCAGGAUCCUGAUGUCAGUC